UUGCCCUACGGGGCGCAGCAGUGGGGAAUCUUCCGCAAUGGGCGAAAGCCUGACGGAGCAACGCCGCGUGAUCGAAUGAAGGCCUUCGGGUUGUAAAGAUCUGUUGACAGGGACGAAUAAGCCAUGCGAAUAGUUUGGUGUAUGACGGUACCUGUUUAGAAAGCUCCGGCUAACUACGUGCCAGCAGCCGCGGUAAUACGUAGGGAGCAAGCGUUGUCCGGAUUCACUGGGCGUAAAGGGAGCGCAGGCGGCAUGGCAAGUCUGAUGUGAAAACCCGGGGCCCAACCCCGGGAGUGCAUUGGAAA
rnacentral:rRNA from 1 species